GCAAUUUCGACCGGCAAUUUUAUUCCAUGCACUCGUAUUUGGUCAUUUUCCUUUGUAUAAUGAUAGAAAAAGGUAUCAUUGGACAACUAAAAGCCUGAAUUUUGUUGCUGUGUAAAAAAUGUUAUCGAUAAACUAAAUAUCUAAGCACGUAAACAUGCUAAAGUUGGGUUACCUUUUUUAUACAUGCUGUAUAACUACUGUGUCGUACCAAGGCUAUAGGUAUAUUGGUUGAUGAAAUAAUGAUGUUUUAUGAAAUUAUGAUUCAGGAAUAAAAUUCGUAAAUAAAUUAUGUAAUGAAAUUAUAUUAAAGUAUCUUGUCAUAUUAUAUAUUACACACUACUACUCUAUGAUUAUAAAAUUCAUGUUGUAAAAACUUCGCUGCGUUCUAGGUCGUUACUUGUUUCACGUAUUGUUUCAAGUUUCUGAUCAACUUCUUUCUGAACUAAAUGUAACUCAUCCUCACUCAUGUCAUUGAGUAAUAAUAACACUGCUGAUAGUAGAUUUGAGUUCU
rnacentral:lncRNA from 1 species